GCCGCCUUGGCUCAGUGGCAGAGCGAGUCAUUGGUAAUGACUAGGUCGACAGUCCGAUUCUGUCAGGCGGCU
rnacentral:tRNA from 1 species